rnacentral:sRNA from 1 species
AAAUCAAUUGCAUAUAUACCAUAAAAAAAUGUCAAAAAGACUCAAUAAGAAUGGAUUAAAAUGAAAGUUAACCAUUGAUAACUAAAUCUUAAUAAAUGUGUCGUCAUUAGUGUGUCGGACUGCAAAACUGUGGACUGCGCAUCUGCCGUCGCUAGUGUGUCGGACUCUCUGUUUCACGGUGUCUCCAGGAUAUAAUCCUCCUUUCCGGUGCCAGGUUAUUAUUCUCCGAUUUGCAUUUUUGUAACUGUGUUUCUCGUUGUGUAUUACCGUGAUCCAAUCCCAUAUUUGGGGAAAACCUUUAUAAAUGAGAAGUCCAUAUUUAUUAAAAAA